rnacentral:sRNA from 1 species
GCCGGGCGUUUGUGGCGGGCGCCUGUGGUCCCAGCUACUUGGGAGGCAGAGGCAGGAGACUCGCUUGAGCCCAGGAGUUGGAGGCUGCUGUGAGCUGUGAUGUCACAGCACUUUACCCAGGGGGACAGCUUGAGGCUCUGUCUCAAAAAAAAAAAUACCAAUUUAGAAUCUUACUUUGUCACACUCAGAAGAGUGCUGUGGCAUCAUAGUUCACAGCAACCUCAAACUCCUGAGCUCAAGUGAGUCUCUUGCCU